AGAAAAAGGAUCCUAGAUGAUAGUGAGACAAAUUUCAGGAAACUCCAUCCAAAUAAGUAAAUGAGAAUGAGGACAGGAUUCAUUGCAUGGUGGCAUGUGCCUGCAGUCCCAGCUACUCAGGAGGCUGAGGUGGGAGGAUCGCUUGAACUCAGGAGUUGAAGGCUGCAGUGGGUGAGGAUCACAACACUGAAUUCCAGCUUAGGUGACAGAAUGAGACCCUGUCUCUCUAAAAAACAAGCAAGCAAACAAACCAAAAACCACAAACAAACCAGAUCCCUCUUAGCAGAAUACUUCCAUGAGGUAAUAAAAGAAAGAAGAAAGUGAAACGAACAAACAAUUUUACUCAAGAAACUAGUGAGAAAUCAAAGAAAUGUCCAAGAAGUAGGAUACAAGAAUUAAUCAAAACAGAUUAACAGUGGAAUAAAUAAAUGAAUCCAACUGGUUCUUUGUCAUGGAAUGUGGAAAGACAUACUCUAUUCUUCUGGAUAGGAAGAUGAAAUAUCAUAAUCAUAUCAAUGCAAGUUUUAUGCAUGCUCAAACAUGUAUAAACUAAGAAAAAGUCUGAAAGGACAGACAGCAAAAUGUUUGCAUUUUUUUCCUCCAAGUGGUAAGA